CAGGCAAGCCAUCAACCCAUUCUUCAGAAAGCAGGGGCUAAAAUGCAAGAUGUUUAAAGCACUGCGGCCACACUGCCAUUCUCACAUCCUGGGACAAAUGAGAUGAUUUUAAAUGUGCCUGGCGAAUUUGAUCAUGAGACUGCAUUUUCUCUCUGUCGGUUUUGGCAUGAAUUGUUCCAGAGUCUCAGAAAGGGGGGAUCCAGGGCAGAAUUGCUAGUGUCUGUCUUGUUAAGCUCAGAAUCCCAGCAUCAAGAAGACAUUGGCCUUUAAGAUUGCAGCAAGCCUCGAGGAAGCCGUCCAAAUGGCCAGAGUGACCGGCUCCAGUUAGCCCUAGGCGGCCCGCACAGAACCUCACUGCCUGGCCCAGACCAGAGUGAAAACGCAGCAGCCUCCAGCAGAUGGGGCAUGGUGGUCUGGAGGCCCCAAUGAACAGGCUGUGUUCAGAGCCACAGUUGGCACACGGACCCAUGUCACAGGGUGGACAGUUACCUGAAGGCUCCUGUGGCACAGAAGGAAAGCCCUGGCCCUCAGCAAGCGCUCCGUCCACUCUCACACGCAUGCCUCCCUCUGGUCUUGUUGGGGUCUGUGAGCUGAAAGCCUGGCCUCACAGCCGAGGGGUGGAAAGCACGGGGAAAGCAGAGGCAGGCUUCCUCCUGCCGCCAUGUGAGGAGGAGCUAUUUGUGUGGUACAAAAAUGCUACGGGACCACCUGGGCUUAGGACCUCCUCACUGGGCAUCCCGGGCGACUCCCAGCACAGGGCUAGGCACAGAUGGGGCAGAGCACAGGGGAAGUCUGAGCCCAGCCACCAGGCGCAGUG